CAGCUGGCGUUUUGUCUUCUACCUCGCAUCCUUCACUGGGGGGCUCGCCUCUUUAAUUAAUACUUCCUGGUUCUGGGAUCCCAGCGAGUGUUGGAGAGAUUAUCCCAAACAGGCUGUGGCCGACGCUCAUUACUGGUAUUACAUGUUGGAAAUGAGCUUCUAUCUGUCGCUGCUUCUGUGCGUCUCUGUGGACGUCAAGAGAAAAGACUUUAAGGAGCAGGUCAUCCAUCACAUCGCCACCAUUUUACUCAUCGGUUUCUCCUACUGUGCAAACUUUGUGAGGGUGGGCACUCUGGUGAUGCUGCUGCACGACUCGUCCGACAUCAUC